rnacentral:rRNA from 1 species
UACGUAGGGACCAAGCGUUGUUCGGAUUUACUGGGCGUAAAGCGCGCGUAGGCGGGCAUCUAAGUCAGGGGUGAAAUGCCAGGGCUCAACCUUGGAAUUGCCUUUGAUACUGGAUGUCUGGAGUUCGGGAGAGGUGAGUGGAAUUCCGAGUGUAGAGGUGAAAUUCGUAGAUAUUCGGAGGAACACCAGAAGCGAAGGCGGCUCACUGGCCCGAUACUGACGCUGAGGCGCGAAAGCGUGGGGAGCAAACAGG